UCAAAGGCUCUGUCAUCGAGUUUGUACCAUUUCCGAUUAUGGAAACGGUGGCCACAACUUUCGUCGCCUGUCUAUAUAAGAAGGAAGUGUGUGGUUCAUCAAUGUGUGCAAUUUUCUUUUUUAAAAAUCACAAAUCUUGAAGUUGAUUUUGCCUUCGACACCUGAGAUAAAAAUGAGGAACGCCAUAAGUAAGAUCACGGUUGCACGGUUUGCUGGUCGUCGACAGUUCUUUGGUGGCCUUCCUCCCACGCCAGAGGGUGACAAGGAUGGCUCGAAGGAUGGUGACAAGGAUGGUGACAAGGAUGGCUCGAAGGAUGGUGAAGAACAAGACGGUGACGACCACGAUGGUGGAGAAGCGAGGAAGACUUAAAGGAGUUCCAUGAAGUCCGAGACUUUAUUAUCAUGUUUAUUUACAUUUCCCUUAAAAUAUAAGCUCUGUGAGAGAGAGUUUAUGCCGUGGUGUUCAGUGUGUGUGUUUUUAUUUUAUUUUUGCGUUAGUUUUCUCUUUUGGAUGUUGUUCUUAGAAAUGUUGUAGUUUCUUUCCUCGGACUUAUUAAAAGAACAAAUGGUGUCUUGUGUUAGUUAUUUCUCACCGA
rnacentral:lncRNA from 1 species